AGGGGCGCUGCGCAGUUCUCCCUCUCUGCGCAGCGCCUCCCCUGCGAAGGAGAGGCGCUGCGCAGAGAGGGAAAACUAUGCAGCACCCC